rnacentral:lncRNA from 1 species
AUACAUUCACAUUGUUGUACAACCAUCACCACCAUCUACCCAAACACAGUCCCCAACCACCAAACACCCCACACACUAGCCUAUAAGGGCCCCAGGGUCAGCGGCCUCAUGGAAGGAAGAGAACGCUGGCGGAAUGAGGGAAUGAAUGAUGCCCUUGAUUGCCUUUCCACUUACAACACGGUAGGUGAUACGGCGUCCACAGCUGCAGCACGGUCACCAUAAACAAGCAUUUCCCCAGCUGGGCCAUGGCCCGUGGAAACCCUGCUUCUCCCUCCAGGUUCCUGUGGACUCCAGCUUCUGGGAAGGUAAGGCUUCCUCCCUUGGGAAGCAUUUUGAGUGUUUUGGCCUGUGUCCUUUCAGGAAGCCCCGUAGCCAACACACACCCCAGGGCAGGAAGUGGGUGAGAACAACUUAGACCUUGGACAGAAAGCAAUUCGGAAACUGGCUCAGCCUCUUCUCGUUGCUGGCACGGCAAGCAGUGUUAAGUGUGAGCAAUUUUUUGUUUUGUUUUGAAUUUGAAUGGUUCCUUUUUCUCCUUCACGAGGAGGCCAUGGUUUCUGAGAGUGGGGCUUGCAUGUGGCAAAGAAUAAGGAUGGCAAGAAGGGCGGAAGCACCCCUGAGCACUGCAGCUGCUACUUCCAGUGCACUCUCUGUUUACAACCGCCCUGGGAGAUGAGAAGAAAACCUCCAGAUUAUACUUGAAACGCUGAGGCUGGAAGAGGUAGACAAGAUGUGGCGAAGUCACACAGCUGCCAACUGAUGGGCUGGCCUGCUGGAUCCCAGAGCCAACAUUCUUUGUGGUAGGGGAGGUGUCUAAACCAUCUUUUUUUGCUGGGGACAUGCAAAUACAUGGAAACUCACAACGGCUGUGUACUUCUCACAAACUUUCAAAAGGUGUUUUGUGAAUUGAGCUAAAUUCACUGCUGUGCAGGAGAUGUGAGGCCCUAAACAUGGUAUAAAAUUCUGUAACGGACACUUUACAAAAGAAGAAGGAAAGGGAAAAAAGCAGAUUGAGAAAUGCCACAUACGUUUCCAGGCGGGGACAUAGAUUUCAUGCCGUUACACAGCUUUCCUAACUCCAUUUCACCUAGCUGGAGCUUUGGACUCUUACGUAAAGUUCCUUAUUCAUUUGUUCAGCAGAGAUUUAUUAAGCAGCCACUGCGUCUCUUGCAACUACAGAAUCAGUCUUUUGAAAAAUGAACCAGAAAAUGUAUGGAAACUAAUCCUGCCUUUCUCACCAAACACACUGUAGGGAUAACCUCUCUCAUACGUGGGCGUCAAAUGUUUACAAAACUUGUGCCUUCCAUCUGUCACUUUCCUGCUGGCCGCUGGGCCUCCGGACACACAGUUCCCCUGCCUGCAGCACUCCAAAAAUAUUCUAUGCGCUCCCCUCCCUACAAAUAUUUGAUGAAGGAAUAGCAGAAAGAACACAUUCUUUCCAUGGUUUAUAUAAGCACCACACUCCUGCCAGGGCUAUCUGUCUCAGCUUUUUCCUUUUCACGAUGAAUCGUACCACAGUUUGUGCCUGAUGCUCUGCAGAAAUUGAUCUUAACACUUAAAAACAACUUUGCCUGUUGGGUACAUGUCAGAUGUUUUACAGAGUAAUCUUCACAUUUUCCUGCUUGAGCGAUAUAUUCAGACAUCCCCACACUCAUUCAGCUGAUGGGAAUGUUGGUCUCAGCCCUUGAACAAAUCAAUCAGGUAGGCUGGAGGGGCAUCCUGGAUUCUUCUCCAGGCUCCAUCGUCAGACACUGGUUCAAAAUGAAUGUUCAUGGCAGCCUGGUCAUAGAAGUCCUGGGGUAAUGUCAGUAGCACUUGAUUUACUGGGCUUUUCCCUGCUGGGAUCUGCUCCCGGCCACUCCACUGGCCAUCAACGACUUCCUUUGAAUGGUGCUAACAAUGCAUUUUCACGGUUAGAUGUAGAUUUUGUUCUGGAGUCCCAGAAGUACCUCCCUGAUGUCUGGAAACCUGUGCCCCAUGGAUUGGCUCCAAUGGGGAGGUAUUUUAGAGGAAUGUGGAGCCCUGCAGGCCUUGGCUCGCUAUGCUUGGUCCAGCCACUUACCAGCAACAGAACUUCAGAACCACGUUGCUUCAUAGCAUCAUGAAGUUUUUAAGCACCACACACCUUUUCCUUUUCAUUUUAUCCCCAGCACCUGGCAGUGCCUGUUUCAUAGUCUGCAUGUACAUUCAUUGAAGACAUGAAUCUGUGAAUCAACUUCUUAGCCUUAUUCUCACAUAUUAUAAUGGAAAAAUAAUCUUUCUAGCUUGAGUAAAUGAUUAAGAAGAUGUUUGCAACAUGCUUAAUUAUAGAGCUCGACACAUAGUAAUUGCUCAGUGAGUGG